CGUUGGUGACCGCGGAGGGAUAUUACCGAGUUUACAACUCCCAAACCCCAGUGUGAACCGUACCCAAACGUUGCCUCGGCGGACCGCCCCGGCGCAGCCCCCCCUCGGGGGGGAUGCCCGGAUCCAGGCGCCCGCCGCAGGGACCCAAACCUCUGUUUUGUACAUGAUUCUCCUCUGAGUGGAUUUUACAAAUAAAUCAAAACUUUCAACAACGGAUCUCUUGGCUCUGGCAUCGAUGAAGAACGCAGCGAAAUGCGAUAAGUAAUGUGAAUUGCAGAAUUCAGUGAAUCAUCGAAUCUUUGAACGCACAUUGCGCCCGCCAGCAUUCUGGCGGGCAUGCCUGUCCGAGCGUCAUUUCAACCCUCAGGCUCCCGCGCCUGGCGUUGGGGAUCGGCCCUCACCGGCCGGCCCCUAAAUACAGCGGCGGCCCCGCCGUAGACCUCCUCUGCGUAGUAGCACAACCUCGCAGCUGGGAGCGCGGCGGCGGCCACGCCGGAAAACCCCCGACUUCUGAAAGUUGACCUCGGAUCAGGUAGGAAUACCCGCGAACUAAA
rnacentral:rRNA from 1 species